rnacentral:tRNA from 1 species
AGCGUCGUCGACGACGAGGUGCAGCACGAAGCCCUCCGGCGGCUUCCAGGGAUGGCCGAAUUCCGGGAAAGGAUCGUUCAGCAUCAAUGCGCCGCCA